AAGGUCUCUCUUCUUCAAGACUCAUUUGUACGUGAGUUAUGGAGCAAGAUUGGUAAACAGAUGUAUUUAGAGUUUAUACAUUCUGUGGUUUUAUCAAAUUUAUAUGUUUCUCCUCAUAAGAGUUCAUCUGGGGCUGCCUCUGUGCUUUUGAUUGGCUCGAGUGAAGAGCUUGGUGUUCCAGUUACUGUUCAUCAGGUUUAAUAACCACUAAACUUGUCAAAUUUUCUUGAUUACAACUUAUACAAUCUGUCUAUAUCAAUUGACUAACUCAUCACUCCUUAUCCAGACAAUAUUGCCCCUGAUUCACUGCUUCGGAAAGGGUCUUUGCAGUGAUGGAAUUGAUGUCAUUGUUAGAAUUGGUAAGUGUUAACCAUGCUUCUUUUUUGUAAACAAAUGAUUGUGUGUUUUGUUUGUUUUAAAUGUUAUAAGCUAACUGUUUUUUAACAUUCAGGUGGUCUUUUUGGGGAGACUUUCAUUGUUAAACAGAUUCUUCCAUUAUUGAAAAACGUUAUACGCUCAUGUAUGGAUGUCUGUAAUGUGAGUAGGCCUGAACCUAUGCAAAGUUGGAGUGCAUUGGCCCUUAUGGAUUGUCUGAUGACAUUAGAUGGAAUAAUGGAAUUAUUGCCAAAUGAGGUGGUUGUCAAAGAGCUAAUCGAGGUGUGUAAACACCAUUAAAUUGUAUAUAUUCCUGAUUGAAGAAGUGAUAUGAAUUGAUGGCUGCAUUUAUGACUUACCAGGAUGGAGGUUGCCUCUAUAUUCAGCUUCUCAUGAUACCCAAUUUGGGAAUCCCUGCACUUCAGGUGUUGUAGUCUCUCUUACUUUUAUUUAUUAUUUAAUUAGAAGUAUAAAAAUAAGGUUUUGUUUUUGGCAGGUGGCUGCUACAAGUCUUGUUACAGUUUCCCAACAGAUUGGACCAGAAUUAACAGCAACGUAUGUGAUGCCAAAACUUAAAGAACUCUUCGAAAGACUCGCCUUCUCUGAGGAAACUCGCAGUGGAAGCCAGAAAGUUUGUAAAAUUAGAAUCGAGGAAGAGCAGACACAAAACAGAAUGGAUCUUGUGUAGGUUUUCCAUUUUUGCCCUCUUUAACUUAUAAAUAUGAAUAUCUUGCAUUUUCAUGUUGACAGGUUGCUUCUGUAUCCACCUUUUGCUUCACUUCUUGGGAUAGAGACACUUCGUAAGUGUUGUACCACAUGGUUGAUUCUUGAACAGUUUCUUCUGUGGAAUCAUAAUUGGAAAUUGGGUUGUAUUUUAAAAAAAAAAAAAAAAAAAAAAACAGUAUGUUGCUUGCUUACACAUUAGUUUCAUGCCUUAGUGGGAAAACACAGAGGAAAGUUGUCGAGGUGGGAGAAGGGGGAAUCACAAGAAGAAUCCAAUGUCUGAAUACAAUCCUGCUAAAAUGCUGCUUCAUGGAUUCGGAUGGUCAGUCCCCCAGUCACAAGGAGAAAAAGGUCCGAAAAACUCAUCGCCACAUCAUCAUAAGCGGCAGGUGACAUCAGCAUCAGCAUCGGCAAUGUCUAGAGAGCAGGAAGCGUGGGUUUGGUUCCCUAGUCCUGCACCUAGUUGGGAUGGACCUGAUUUUGUGGGUCGAAUUGGGGCUUCCGAAGGUCCAUGGAAAAUCAGUGCGUCUGUGAUACACUCGAUCCGUGCCCACCAUGGGGCACUUCGUUCAUUUGCUGUUUGCCAAGACGAGUCUACUUUUUUUACGGCUGGAGUUGGUCCGGGGUUCAAGGGAUCUGUCCUCAAGUGGGAUCUAUCGAGAACUGCCUCUUCAUCUGGGUAUCAUGCCCAUGAAGAGGUUUCUUACUACUUAAUACUUAAUUCUUAUCUUAUUUAUUAAAUUUGUCAUAAAUCUUUUCAUUCUUAUUAGAGUAAUUUACAUUUCUGUCCCUGUGCUAUAAAUAUAAUGAUUUCUUUUGUCAACCCUUUUUUGGUCACUAUGGUAAUCUACCCUUCGUUUUAUUAUAUUGGGUUUGGGUAAAGGUUAAUAUUAGUGUAUAUGUUGAUAUCGGUCAGGUUGUGAAUGACAUUUGUGCCCUGGCUUCCUCAGAAAGAAUGGCUUCUUGUGAUGGCACAAUUCACAUUUGGAAUAGCCAAUCAGGAAAGGUUAUAUCCGUCAUUGGUGAAACCUCCUCCCUGACAUCUACAUCGAAGAUACAUUCUGAGCAAGCUAAUAUGCUUGAUUUCAGCUCCCUUAGUAAUGGGAUUCUAAGCACUAGUUAUGAUGGGAGUUUAUAUACUUGUAUGCAUCACCUACAAACUCUAAAUAGGCUUGUGGUAGGCACUGGAAACGCUUCUCUCAGGUAAAUAAUUAAAUCACUUUCUGACAACAUUUCAUUUCAAGCAAAUUAAACAUUUUUUUUAUUGUGGUAUUCAGAUUCAUUGAUGUUGAACAAGCUCAAAAGCUUCAUUUAUGGAGGAGCGAUUCCGUUGAAUCAAGUUUUCCUUCUUUAAUCUCUUCAGUAUGCUGUUGUGGUUCUUCAAAGAUGCAAUCUAAUGGAGCAUCUUGGAUUGCAGCUGGAUUAAGUUCUGGUCACUGCAGGUUGCUUGAUAUUAGGAGUGGAAAUCUGAUCAACUCAUGGCAAGCUCAUGAUGGAUAUGUCACAAAGGUAUGGUAUUGGUUGCUUAGGUUAUCUACUUUCAUUUAUUUGUUUAUCAUAGCAUUCUACUUUAAAUUCUUUUUUUUUUUUUUUUUUUUUUUUUAAUUACGGUAUUGUACUUUCCAAUCUUUUUUUCUCAUUAAGGUAUUGUAUCUUGAAAACUCUACGUAAUUGUUUAUAGCAUUUUAUUUUUCUUAUUAGGAAAUCAUACUUUGAAAGUUUAUUCAAAUUAUAGCAGCUCUGAAUAUGGAUAACUUGGUAGAUUUCUCAAAGUACAACGCUGUAAUAGGAAAAAUGAAAGUAGGAUGCUAUAGUAAACAAAUGCUUAUUUUCCCUUCCAUAUCCAAUUCAUGCAGAUAGCUUCUCCGGAGGACCACUUGCUUGUUUCUAGCUCACUUGACAAGACUUUGCGAGUUUGGGACCUCAGAAAGUAAUCUAAUCUUCACAAUUCUCUUAAGUCUUAACCAUACCAUACAUAUAUAAUAAUAACAAUAAUUUUAAUAUGCAAAUUAUCAUUUUACCUUAAAAAAAGAAAGCAAACCAACAUUCCGCAUUUUUUUUUCAGGAAUUUGGCAUCACCUCUGAUUCUAUUCGGAGGCCACAGUGAUGGUGUAUCUGGUUUUUCUGUCUGGGGACAAGAUGUUAUUUCAAUAUCCAGAACUAAGAUCGGACUUUCUUCCUUAUCUCAACAGGUAAACUCACUCAUGCAUCAUGCAUCAUGCAUCAUGCAUGUGCUCUUAAUUUACAGUUUUCGUCCCUGUACUUUGUAGAAUUGUAUGAAUAUGGUAUGGUCCUUGCAAAAAGAAAAUUUUAACCUUUUCGUCCUUCAAUACUAUAUUUGUCACGCUUAGCUUAGCUUAACUACUAUGGUGCUAAGUCCAUGUAAAAUGACUAAUAUGCCCUCAAAUAUACAUGACACGUGGCACAGGACGGGCAACAUCGGAUUACGCCACAAUACCUGUAUAUGGCGGACCGUGAAUCGAGGAACAUGUCAGUGCUGUCCAAUAUAACCAUUUUUCCGUUUUCACGCCUUUUCUUAGUGGGGACUGAAGAUGGUUAUUUAAAAGUUUGUUGUUAAAUACUUACAUUUUUUUUUGUUUCUUUAUUUUUGUAUAUCCUGUGUUUCACCUUCGUUUAAAUUACUUUACUCAUUAGAAUUGCAUUUAAAGACGCAUUUUUUUACUAGCAAAAUGUUUGUUGAUUAGAUUUUGCUGUAUAUAAUACUUGUGGAUAUGGGUAUUGUGAGUAAAGCAUCUUGGAUGGUCAAAGUCAAAGGCUUAACGGGCAUGUAAUUUUGGUCAAACUUGGUAAGCAGUGAAAAAGUCAAAAUGGUUAAUCUUAUUACCUUCUACGCCUGAAUGGCUAAGUGAAAAGGACAGAAAACAAAUGGUCUAACCAAACAAGAAGAUUAGUUUAGAUCCUCUUAUUUGACUAAUUCACCAACCAAAAGAUUAUAUCAGUAAUCAUUACAGCAUAUUUUAAACAGCUUAUUUGGUUGAUAAUUGCAUAUUCCCUAUAAUUAAAGGCACCCACGGAGGAUAUUUGUUGCAUUAAUAGUAUUAUAUUCUCGACGUCGUGCUGCAUGCGAAAUCUGUAAGCAUUAAAUAUGCAUAUCAUACCGAGUGGUUUAAGUAAUUGACUCAUGUUGCACUUGCAAGGAAUACAAUAUUUAUCAAAGUUUAACUUUAUUUAGAAACGUCGAAAAAAGUAGUUAUAUUAUAAACUAAAAUAUAAAAUCGAUUUCCUCUUUGUUUUAUUAUUCAUAAUAUUAAAUGUGCGUGUCGGAUGUAAUAUUACCUCAUCAUCAAAUAAAAUAAUUACAAUUUGCGGUUUAUCAUAUUAUUUUGACAAUAAAAAUAUAAUUCUUAAAAUGGGACAGUUUAUUAGGAUAAAAUUUCAUAUCAAUCACCAACAUCUUUCCCUUUUCAAAACAAAACUUUGAAACAAUCUUCAUUUUUUUAUAAAAAAAUGAUAAACAACACAAUAUAUAUAUAUAUAUAUAUAUAUAUAUAUGUAUAUAUAUAUUCNNNNNNNNNNNNNNNNNNNNNNNNNNNNNNNNNNNNNNNNNNNNNNNNNNNNNNNNNNNNNNNNNNNNNNNNNNNNNNNNNNNNNNNNNNNNNNNNNNNNNNNNNNNNNNNNNNNNNNNNUUUUUCGUUUUUUUUUUUAAUUUUUAAGAAGCUAUUUUUAUCGAAAAAUUAUUUUAAAUAUACCAAAAUUCAUGAUUUUUUAUUCUCUACAAAUAGACAUCCAUAUUGAUAUAGUUUUAAAAUAAAAUAAUAAUUUUUUUUUUUUUUUUAUAUUUUCAGCUAUCAUUAUUCAUAAGUGAAUUNUAUUCAUAAGUGAAUAAAAAUGAAUCAAGUUUUUUCUACAGUACAUUCGUUAUUCACUUAUGAAUAAAAACUAUGAUUAAUUUUUUUUACAUUUUAAGUAUCAUUCAUAUAUGAAUAUAGCAUAUACUAAACAUAGUAUAUUCAUAUUUAAAUAUUAGACGAUUCAUUCACUUGUGAAUAUUACAUAGUAUAUUCACUUGUGAAUAUUAGAUGAUAUAUUCACUUAUGAAUAUUAGAUAAUAUUUUCAUAUCUGAAUAUUACAUAGUAUUACAUGGUAUAUCACAUGUGAAUAAUACAUAGUAUAUUCACUUGUGAAUAUUAGAUGAUAUAUUCACCUAUGAAUAUUACACAGUAUAUUCACAUAUGAAUAUUACAAUGUGUUUUCACAAAUAUAUAUAAUUUUUAAAUGUUAUUUACAUAUGAAUAACAUACAGACUUGCAUAUUCGUUUUUUUGUUUUAAUAAUCAUAUACUGAUUCAAGUGAGAAAACAUAUUCAUAUAUGAAUAUAAUGUGGUAAUUUAGUUUGUGCAUUUCAUCAAACAGUUGGAGUGUAUACAAGUUAACUAUUUUUAAAAUGUUAAAAACAUCAAGUUAUUAAUUCCAAAUCAUCAUAUACUUCCGUUUCGACAUCAGAUGCGACACCUAUGUCUGAUCGAUUUCUCAUUUUGGAUUUGAUUUCCGAAAAUCCGAUUGGGAACCUGUGAGUACCGAUUCUGAGUCCUUCAAUGUCGACCGUGACUGCGAGUCAAGAACUCCGAUUCCAAUUUCAUGAACAGCGAAGAAAUUCCGAUUCCAACUGAUUUUGUUUGCGAAUCUGAGAAAUUCCAGUUCCAAACUUUAUCAAAUCGAUGAAAUUGAUGAAUUUGGGUUGCGAAUUUGUCUUGAACGACGAACCUCCCAUCUACGAAUAUUGAUGAUUGAUUAACACUAGAUGACAAUGGUGAUAGUUUAGUUGAAGAAAUUUGGAUGAUUGUUGAAGAUUAGAGGAGAAAUUUUGAGGAUGAACGAACUGUUAUCGAAUUCUCUAUAGUUACGUAUUUGACAUUGAAGGUUAUUAACAUAUUUACAAGUCUGCCACCGUGUCUUUUUAUGCUUAGAUAAAUGAGUGGCUGAGAAUGAUUCCCCCAUUCUCAACCUUUUUUAUUUUCUCAAUUGAACCCACCUCUCUCUCUCUCUCUCUCUCUAUAUAUAUAUAUAUAUAUAUAUAUAUAUGUAACACCGUAAAUUUCAANNNNNNNNNNNNNNNNNNNNNNNNNNNNNNNNNNNNNNNNNNNNNNNNNNNNNNNNNNNNNNNNNNNNNNNNNNNNNNNNNNNNNNNNNNNNNNNNNNNNNNNNNNNNNNNNNNNNNNNNNNNNNNNNNNNNNNNNNNNNNNNNNNNNNNNNNNNNNNNNNNNNNNNNNNNNNNNNNNNNNNNNNNNNNNNNNNNNNNNNNNNNNNNNNNNNNNNNNNNNNNNNNNNNNNNNNNNNNNNNNNNNNNNNNNNNNNNNNNNNNNNNNNNNNNNNNNNNNNNNNNNNNNNNNNNNNNNNNNNNNNNNNNNNNNNNNNNAUAAUAAUAAUUAUAAUUUGGUAAUUAGGUUAAAUAAAUAUCAAAUCUAAAGUGUAUUCAUAUAUAAACUAAAUUUCAAUAUUAAAAUAAUAUCUUUAAUUCUACUUAUAAAAUUAUGUUUUUUAACUUUUAACAUAUUAUACGUAAUUUAUUAGUUUUAAUAUAUCAAAUCUAAUAAUGAUUGUAAGUUGGUUAAUAAGGUUAGUUUUAACAUAUUAUACGUAAUUUAUUAGUUUUAAAAUUAAAAUAAUAUAUUUAAUUCUACUUAUAAAAUGUUGUUGCAUGUAAACCAUUAUCAGUUUAAAGCUACAAUUUUUGAACAGUUUGGACAAAAUACUUAAAUUGUUAAUUUAAAUAUAACAUUACAGUGUCAACUUAAAUAUAAAUUUCAGUUCCACUAAAAAAACCAAAUAAUAUUUUGUAAAUAGUUAAAAGUGAUAAAUUAUAGUGAUAAAUGCAAAAACUAAAUUGUAAUAUCAGUUUAACUAAAAUAUUUCCUAAAUAUAUUUAUAUAAUCGUUAAAAAUUUUCAAAUAAGUAGCUUAAAAUAACUUAUAAUAACAAUAGUUAAAAAUAACUCUAUAUAAAUGAUUAUAUUGUUACCUUUAAAAUCAAAAAAUAAUGUUUGAUGUUUUAAAUAAUUAUAAUGAUAGAAAUUAAAACAUUAAGCAAAUAAAUUUUAAAAAAUUAGUUAAAAAUAACAACUAUAAAUAAUAUUAAACCAUAUAUAAUAUUUAAUUUUAUUGAUGUGUAACUCGCGAGUAGAAGUCAUUCAAACGAUUGAGAUUAUGACGUUAUAAUAGAUUUAUAUAUUAUCAUAUAAUUCAAAAUAAUCAAUAUAUUAUAUCAAAUUAAUAUACGAAUUAUUAUAUCAAAUUUAACAACAACGUUAGUGUUAUAUUUUAAAAAAUAUAUAUUUGUAAAGACUUCAACUAUAUAGGUGUUUCUGUGCAUUACAAUGUCAACUCAAAUAUAAAUUUCAGUUCCAUUUAAAAAAAACUAAAGAAUAUUUUGUAAAUAGUUAAAAGUGAUAAAUUGUAGUGAUAAAAGCAAAAACUAAAUUGUAAUUUCAAUUUAACUAAAAUAUUUCUUAAAUAUAUUUUUAUAAUCGUUAAAAGUUUCCAAAUAAGUAGCUUAAAAUAACUUACAAUAACAAUAGUUAAAAACAACUUUAUAUAAAUGAUUAUAUUGUUAGCUUUAAAAUAAAAAACAAUGUUUGAUGUUUUAAAUAAUUAUAAUGAUAGAAAUUAAAACAUUAAGCAAAUAAAUUUAAAAAAAUUAAUUAACAAUAAAAACAACUAUAAAUAACAUCAAAUCAUAUAUUAUAUUUAAUUUUAUUCAUGUGUAACUCGCGGGAAGAAGUCAUUCAAACGAUUGAAAUUAUGAAGUUAUAAUAAAUAUAUAUAUAAUCAUAUACUUCAAAAUAAUCAAUAUAUUAUAUCAAUUUAGUAUAUACAAAUUAUUAUAUCAAAUUUAACAACAACAUUAUUGUUAUAUUUAAAAAAUCAUAUAUUUGUAAAGACUUCAACUAUAUAGGUGUUUCUGCGCAACGCGCGGGCAUUCGCCUAGUAUAUAUAUAUAUAUACAGAGAGAGAGAGAGAGAGAGAGAGAGAGAGAAUGUUUAAAAUGGGAACAAAUACUUCUACUUUUUGAUCAAUAAUAAAAAAAUUGGUGACACGAUGGUAAAAUAGUAAAUAAUGAGAAUCACAUGUCAUUUCGAUGAUCCUAACAUGAUAUCUAAAAAUCAAAUUUGAUGCUUCAUACACUAUCACCUAGCUCCAUGAGUUCAAACUCAAACUCUAGCACUACUAUUGCAUCUACCACAAUCACUACAUCCAUAUGACCACCCUCCCAGCCAUGAGCCAUCCAGUGGCGGAGCUAGGAUCAAAGUAAAGGGAUAUCCCAAUUUUUCUUAGGGUAACCUAAUUUUUUUCCGGGGGUACUUGGGUUUCCUCGGUUCGGUUUCGGUUUUAAACCCAAAUCUUAAUCGAAUUCUUAGCUAACCUCAAGUCUUGUUAUAUAAACAUGAAGUUGAAGUAUAUUUUGAUACUUAAAUCGAUGUGGGACUCAAAGUAGAUAUCAAAUAAAGCAUGAACAUAACAUGUUUAUAUAAUAGAAAAAAAUGGUUAAGUUUACAUGUGUUUAGCGAAUAAAACAAAAGUAAACAAAGAAUAUGUAAGAAGCGAGAAUUGAUCUCAAGACCUUUGCUUGAAUAAGCCAACGCCUUAACCAAUAGACCAACUGUUUGUUUGUGUUUAUAAGUGGAGGGAUACGUAUAUAUACACUAUACCGAUUUUUUUUUGAGGGAUACAUAAACAAAAAUUACACUACCGAAAAAAAUUUGAGGGGUAUCCCAGGCUACCCCGGGAUCCCCUUGGAUCCGCCCCUGGAGCCAUCGCCAUUAAUGAAAGAAACCAUUGCUUUCCUUCCAUCUCUUUUGCUUCCCCUUACUGUUGACGCCACACCACACCGUCGCUUCCCUACCACUAGCGAAAACCACCGGUGCUCGUGGAUCUAGAGCUAAGGAAAAUAACACUCUCAAAUUUGAUUAGAUCUGUUGUGUUUGGUGCAUUUCAAAUUUGAUCAGAUCUGUUGUGUUUAGCAGCGACAGCGGUGCCGGUAGCCACUGGUGGUUCUAGGGAUGAGCAUUUGGACCGGGAAACUGGCCGGAACCGAUACUGAAUAGAACCAAUCAUGUCGGGACCGUGAUGAUAUUCUUGUGGAUUUUUGAAAUCGGGAAUCGGUAGAACCGACAAAAACGAAACCGUAACCGAAAUAUUUCUCAAAAUAUAUUGCUAUUUCUCAAGGAUCGGUUCCAAUACUGAAGACCCGACAAGAACCGGUAGGAACAAAACCAAUAGAAUCGGCGGUCCGGUUCGGUUCCUAUUUCCACCAAGUUCGGUUCCCGUGCCGGUUCCGAUGCUCAUCCCUAUGUGGUUCAACUGUCGUAUCAAAUAUUUUACACUACCUCUACCUAUCACCUUCAUUAUCCUCGUUUGCUCUUACAUGUUCUUCGAUGGUAGAGUUUUGAGAAAGAAGUUAUGAAAACAAGAUGUACAUAUGGUGUUUAAUGAAAUGCCUUAGCGAAGUGUGUAAAAAUUUAAACACGAAAUAUGGAAUAUAUUGUAAACUUUUAUAUUAUCAAUUAAAUUGUGAAUAUAGUGUAAAUUUAAUUGCGAAUGAAUGUGUUAAAUUAAUAGUGUACAUUAAUGUGUGAUUUUAUUUGUAUUUAAGAAUUUAUGUAUAUUUAUGUGUUUCAUAUAAAUUAUACAAAUGAUUUUUUAAUUUUAAGUAUUUUUUUAUAUAAAAUUGUGAAUGAUGUACGAAUGAAAUAUUAAACUUUGAAUGAGUAUAUUUGAUAAAAAAAAAAAGAAAAUUAAAAAAUGAAAUGGAAUGAUAAGUAAUGCUUAAUUGAAAAGAAAAAAUAUAAAAGGUAAAUUGAAACAAUGGUCUUCAGCUAAAGGUCAUCGGGUAUGACUUUGUUUUUUAUGCGUAAAAGGUGAGGUGUCAGGGAUGUUCAUGCAUGAACACCGCCCCUUAGCCCAUAAAUGUGGUGUGGAUUGGAACCGGUUACACGUCCUUACAACGAAUAAGAUUCGAUUUUGGCAAACGGUCAAAAAUUGACCCGUUAACAAUUAAAAUAAAUCAUCUUUUUUUACUUUAAACUAAACUAUAUAAAUACCAACACUUUAGUUUUAUACCAUUUCACACCACAAAACCAUUCAAAUAUCUUUCUAUUCUCUUAUUUUUUUUUCUCAAAGUAUGGAUCAAAAUCAAAAUACUCCAACCAAUCUAAACACCCCACCAACCCCAAACACUCUAAAUGAUCAAUAUCAAGGUUACAUGCAAAUGUUAACAUCCCCAAUCCAACAACACCCUAUAUUUACCAACAUUCCAUAUCAACCAAACUACUUCCAACAACAAAGACCACAACAAUUCAAUCAACAUAAAUUCCAAGCUUUUCCACAAUUCAACCUCAACAAUUCCAAACCCAAACACAACCAUCUCAAAUCCCAUUAUCUCAAUCUCAACCUAUAAACCUGGACAAUGACGACGACGAACGGGUUGAAGAAACACAACUAUCUAGAAGAACAACUUGGAGCGAAGAUGAGGAGGAAGUUUUAUGUAAAUCUUGGAUUUUUAUAUCAUGUGACUCGAGGUUGGGCAACGUACAAACGAGAAACAACUUUUGGCUUCGUGUUUUAGAUCACUUUCACUCGCUUUUAGGAAGACAAAUGGGUCGAACGUACGACACAAUCAAUGAAAAAUGAUGUGAACUACGAAAUGGCUUGCACCAAGUUUAACAAUAUAUUUGAAAAUCUGAAAAAUAUGCAUAAAAGUGGAUGCAACAAUUUCAAUAUUCUAUCAACCGCUUGCCAACAAUACAAGGUUACCAACGGCGGUAAAGCAUUCGACCACCAAAAAGCGUGAGAAAUUUGUCGUAAGGGUCCAAAAUGGGUCCUUAAACCGGAGACUUCGCAUUCAGAAUCGACCACUGACUCCUCGCAUUCAGAAUCGACCACUGACUCCAACAAAAGGCCAAAAACUUCCGAGCCGGAUGUGGGUUUUGGUGUCGACCUCAUUAAAGACUUCGACGACACCGAAAGGGAGGGUCCAUCGUAAGUCCAACUUCGUCGAACACCGGGAAGAGACAAAGGAAAAAAAAAGGUGUCUUCAAGCGGAAAAUCGAGUAAUGAAGACGUACUUGCGGAAAAAAUUGAUAAAACUCUAAGUUUUUUACAAAAAAAAAUGAAGCAACGAAGGAAGCUCGUUGCCGGAAACUAACGCUUACUGAUCUUAAAAUUUUAAACAUAAAGCCGCAACCAGAUAUCAACCGGGAAAAUCUAGCUGCGUUUCUGAAAAUCCAACAAUAAGUUCAUGACAAGUAUGAAAAUUAGGUUUUUAACGUUUUAAUUUUUAUGUUUAAUUUUCUAUGGUUUUAAGUCAUUUCGGUUUAAAUUUCUAUGGUUUUUUGUUUUUUUAGUAAUUUAGGUUUGAAAUUUUAUGUUUUUAUGUUUUUUUUGGUUGUUUAAGUUAUGUAAUGUGAAAUAUUUAUUUAUGUUUAUUAAUUAUGUUUUUUAUUUAAUCUAAAUAUAAAAAAAAUAUAAACGAUGUAGAUUAAUAACCAUUUCCUAGGACUAGUAGACAUGUAGUGGAGGUGAUAUGGUGCGUAUAUGUCAUCACAUUUUUCUAGUGAACAUCUACACCCUUAUAGUUAAAUAACAAUAAUACAAUUAAUUAACAAUAAUACAGUUAAUAUCAUUAUUACCAAUACAACAUGGGAUUGUUAGUUUUUUAUUUGGUUUAAGUAUAUAGACUAAAAACACAGAAGUAUUCAUAUGUCACUUGCAUUCUCAACAAGAAACUAAAAGAAAAUAAUAUCAUUUUCAUUCACCAACUCCUAAGUCGUAAAUAUGAAAAGAAAAAAGCAAACCAAGGGCCAAGAUGUAAUCUAAGCGAUAUUUGAUCUAAGAUUCCACCAACACACAGAAUGAAUCUGGCACGUACGUUCCAUCUUACACCACCCCCACCUCCAUCCCCGCCUAUAUAAGCAACAUCUCCACGACCUUUACUCCUCGCCCUUAGCUCCUUUGCUUUCAGAAGAGCAAGAAGAGGAAGAUCAAACCAUACGGAUUCAUCCUCUCCUUUCUACUCUUCCCAAAGGUAUUUGGACUAAUCUAAUCUAAUCUACUCCCUUUCUCUGGAUUCACGGCCGCCGCAACGCCGGAGAGUUUCUACGUUUGUCGGUGAUUGAAAAAUCCAAGGCCAAAUGUUAAAACUGUGUCGGUUUGCGAUGUAUUUGUGGUUUUGUUUAACUCGUUAGCCGUGGAUUAUAUGCUUACGUUGAUUCUCCCGGGUUCUUAAUCAUCUCUAUGACAUGCUAAGUUGCUGUUGAAAUUGAUAUGAAACCUGUUUAUCUUAGGUUGAAUUUGAUUUAUUCUAGCAAUUUAGUCAGAUCUGGAGCUGAAUCAUAGUUUACUCUGCUAGUUCUAACACCAAAUUAGCACAGAUCUAUCACUUCAUCAUGCUUUGGACUUGGGAAUUGUUCUGUGUCGUAUGCUUCAUGGAUCUAGUAUACACGUUACCUAUUAUUUACUCAGUCUGUUUAGGGUUCCAAGUUUUAAGUUAAAUCAUGUCACAAUUUCGUAAUUAAAGGUUUUGUAGCUUCGUUUUUAAGUGUUUUUUUUACUUACUGACCAAUUUGAUCGAAUAUUCAGCUUUGCAAUAAUGGAGACCUUCUUGUUCACAUCCGAAUCUGUCAACGAGGGACAUCCAGACAAACUCUGUGAUCAGAUUUCUGAUGCAGUUCUUGACGCCUGCUUAGCUCAAGACCCCGACAGCAAGGUCGCCUGUGAAACCUGCACGAAAACCAACAUGGUGAUGGUUUUCGGGGAAAUCACCACUAAAGCUAACAUCGACUACGAAAAGAUCGUCCGUGACACCUGCCGGGAGAUUGGAUUUGUUUCUGAUGACGUGGGUUUGGACGCCGACAACUGCAAGGUCCUUGUGAACAUCGAGCAACAAAGCCCAGAUAUCGCCCAA
rnacentral:lncRNA from 1 species